CAGUAGCCGCGGUAAUACGGAGGGUGCAAGCGUUAAUCGGAAUUACUGGGCGUAAAGCGCACGCAGGCGGUCUGUCAAGUCGGAUGUGAAAUCCCCGGGCUCAACCUGGGAACUGCAUUCGAAACUGGCAGGCUAGAGUCUUGUAGAGGGGGGUAGAAUUCCAGGUGUAGCGGUGAAAUGCGUAGAGAUCUGGAGGAAUACCGGUGGCGAAGGCGGCCCCCUGGACAAAGACUGACGCUCAGGUGCGAAAGCGUGGGGAGCAAACAGGAUUAGAUACCCGGGUAGUCCCUGUCUUUUAUAC
rnacentral:rRNA from 1 species